rnacentral:lncRNA from 1 species
ACGGGUAGCAUAGAUACCUCCAUAGACAACACCUUUAGUACGGUUCAGGUUCAACCGUUGAGCAACUAUAGCACCUAGGCUAUAAGUUUUAUUGCUAUAAAGGGCUUCGCGCAAGACCGCAAGAUCUGGGGAACUAAGUGACCCAGCUUUCCCAUGACCAAUCAAACAUUUUCCCACAAAUAAUGAGAAGUACCGAAGCACGGGAAAAUGAAUGCUAGCAGCUCUAGCGAAAGACACUCCUCUC